GCCCGGAGGAGCGUGGAAAGUAUUUGUGCUGGGUGAAUAAUUCGGCUGGCGAGGAGGCGAUGCGGGUGGCGCUGACUGUGACGGCGCCGCAGGUGGCACACGUCCAGCCCCUGAACCAGGUCGUCGACGUAAGAAAGACGCGUGAGUGUAGCCGUUGCGUGAGGAGGUCGCUACCCUGAUGAGGCAGAAGCAGGAGGUAGAGCAAGGUGCGCAGAAAAGGACACCCUGAGUAGAGUCUCGGAGGUGGAGCAGCGUCUCCGCGACUCCACCUGGUCCUCCGAGACGUCGGUGUUGAGACUGUCGAGCGGCCGCAAGUCCUAUCCUUGGCGCAAGGGCCAGGUUACUCCAGCCACACUGAAGAGACCACCUUCAGUUGUGAGCAGCAGUGGCGUGGAGCCGCUUCUCCGACUCGCACCGCGAGCCGAGCGAGGCCGAGUUCCACCUCGCUUCACCAGGGACACCCUUCCAAACCAUCGCAUGUGAUUCGCCGCCCCUCCCACCCUCAAUCCACCUCUCAAAUAUAAAAUUCACUGCGAUAACUGACCAAAGUCUCGACUUUUCUUUUUUUUCAACCCAAUUUUAAUUUUAUUUCGAGAUAAUUGUAAAAAAGCAGGUUUUGCAGCCGUGCUUUUACAAAUUAAUAACAGAUUUUACAUUAUUUUGCUGUGAAUUCCUGAAGUAUUUGGAAAUAAAAUUUAAGAAUCGCCAAACAAAAGGGAGAAUUUGUCUAUUUGAAAAGUUUAGCAGGAGGAAUCGAUUCAGCACAUCAGUGGAGGUCGCGAAUUUAUUUCUGCGGGGAAGAUGCAGCCGCAACCUGCAAAAUUACCUGAAUUUCGGCAGGCUGCUUUGACUGAAUUAGUUGAAACUUCUGCAUUGAUUAAAAUGGAGAUUUAACUUAAACUUAAAUCAGACACCUAUUUUAUUUGUAAAUGCCUUUAA